rnacentral:rRNA from 1 species
GAUGAACGCUAGCUACAGGCUUAACACAUGCAAGUCGCAGGGUAACAUGAGGAAAGCUUGCUUUCCUUGAUGACGACUGGCGCACGGGUGAGUAACGCGUAUCCAACCUUCCCAUAACUACGGGAUAACCCGUUGAAAGACGGCCUAAUACCGUAUGAUAUCGUUUGCUGACAUCAAAUAACGAUUAAAGGUUUAGCGGUUAUGGAUGGGGAUGCGUCUGAUUAGCUUGUUGGCGGGGUAACGGCCCACCAAGGCGACGAUCAGUAGGGGUUCUGAGAGGAAGGUCCCCCACAUUGGAACUGAGACACGGUCCAAACUCCUACGGGAGGCAGCAGUGAGGAAUAUUGGUCAAUGGGCGAGAGCCUGAACCAGCCAAGUAGCGUGCAGGACGACGGCCCUAUGGGUUGUAAACUGCUUUUAUGUGGGGAUAAAGUGCGUGACGUGUCAUGCAUUGCAGGUACGACAUGAAUAAGGACCGGCUAAUUCCGUG